UCCACCUUCUGUGGCAGAGGUAAAGAUCACAACAACACAGAGAAGAUUAGCCUGGCCAUCUACGUAUGGAUGACAAAGCCAAUGUGUGUAGCGUUCAAAAAGACU
rnacentral:snRNA from 1 species